rnacentral:rRNA from 1 species
GAUGAACGCUGGCGGCGUGCCUAAUACAUGCAAGUCGAGCGAACAGACGAGGAGCUUGCUCCUCUGACGUUAGCGGCGGACGGGUGAGUAACACGUGGAUAACCUACCUAUAAGACUGGGAUAACUUCGGGAAACCGGAGCUAAUACCGGAUAAUAUAUUGAACCGCAUGGUUCAAUAGUGAAAGACGGUUUUGCUGUCACUUAUAGAUGGAUCCGCGCCGCAUUAGCUAGUUGGUAAGGUAACGGCUUACCAAGGCAACGAUGCGUAGCCGACCUGAGAGGGUGAUCGGCCACACUGGAACUGAGACACGGUCCAGACUCCUACGGGAGGCAGCGGUAGGGAAUCUUCCGCAAUGGGCGAGAGCCUGACGGAGCAACGCCGCGUGAGUGAUGAAGGUCUUCGGAUCGUAAAACUCUGUUAUUAGGGAAGAACAAAUGUGUAAGUAACUAUGCACGUCUUGACGGUACCUAAUCAGAAAGCCACGGCUAACUACGUG